rnacentral:tRNA from 1 species
GAGGGUAUAGCUCAGUGGUAGAGUGCAUACCUAGCAUGCACGAGGUCCUGGGUUCAAUCCCCGGUACCUCCA